GGGACGAACGCUGGCGGCGUGCUUAACACAUGCAAGUCGAACGGUGACCCUCGGAGCUUGCUUCGGGGUGAUCAGUGGCGAACGGGUGAGUAACACGUGAGUAACCUGCCCCAGACUCUGGGAUAACCCCGGGAAACCGGAGCUAAUACCGGAUACGACACGGAGAGGCAUCUCUACCGUGUGGAAAGUUUUUCGGUCUGGGAUGGACUCGCGGCCUAUCAGCUUGUUGGUGAGGUAAUGGCUCACCAAGGCGACGACGGGUA
rnacentral:rRNA from 1 species